GGAAGGAUCAUUACAAAUCGAGGGAUGGUGGCUGGUGGUUGGGUAGUGGGUAGUUGAGGUGGAUUUGAAAAGAAUCUAUUUCGAUGAUCUCUACUCUACACCUGCUCCAUACAUUAGCACGAGGGUGGAGAGUGGGAUUUGGUUUAAAAGCUAACUUUCAUAUCCAUCCCCAUGUUUACGCAUGAUUGUUUGACAGAGUUAAGAUUGAUUGUAACGAAUACAACUUUUAACAACGGAUCUCUAGGCUCUUGCAACGAUGAAGAACGCAGUAAAGUGCGAAAAGUAAUGCGAUUUGCAUGAAUCUGUGAGUCAUUUAAUAUUUGAACGCAACUUGCGCCUUGUACAAGGCAUGUUUGGUUGAGCGCCUUUUAAAAAAGCAUUAGUGAGAACUGAUGCGAUAUGACUGUUUGUCGGGUGGGUGAGGUUGAUGAGAGUAGAUGCAACAAUCUGCCGACAUUGUUCACACACACUGGACACGGUUUAAAAAGAGCCAGAUGAUGGCCAUGUUCCUAUUCAUCAAGUGCUAAGCAUUCUUGAUGGACAGAAUGUGGGCAGGUAAAGUGGAGGUGAGGAAUGUGCAUGUGUGCAUGUAUGCAUGUGCACAUCUGCAUCCACAUCCACCUCCACCAAUACCAUCCAACACCACGGCCUCAAGUCAAACAGGAUUACCCGCUGAACUUAAGCAUAUCAGUAAGCGGAGGAAAAGAAACUAACAAGGAUUCCCCUAGUAACGGCGAGUGAAGCGGGAACAGCACAAAUUUAAAAUCAGCAUAUUGCAUAUGAUGAAUUGUAGUCUACAGACGCGAGGGGUAGGAGAGAGGAGAGUCCAAGUUUCCUGGAAAGGAGCACCAAAGAGGGUGAGAGUCCCGUGGGAAUCUGUUUGAUCCAUAUACUCUUGCAGUCGACGAGUCGAGUUGUUUGGGAAUGCAGCUCAAAGCGGGUGGUAGAUCUCAUCCAAGGCUAAAUACAGGCAAGAGACCGAUAGCGAACAAGUACCGUGAGGGAAAGAUGAAAAGCACCUUGAAAAGGGAGUUAAACAGUGCGUGAAAUUGUUAAAAGGGAAACGAUGUACGGCGGGAUGGGAUGGAGGAAGGAUGGGUGUUUUGGCACCUCUACGGAUGCCAUACCAAGUCAAAGGCCGUUAUUGUUGUCCGACAAGGUUCCGAGUAAGAUGGGAAUGAUCGCAAGAUUAUUGCUUUAUAGACUCGGGAAGAAAGGAUGAUGGUGACGGGAAAGGAGAGUGCGUAUUGCUGGAUUAGAUGAGAAAGAGGAUAGUUCAACAUGUUGAGGGAUUCGCAAUCACAACUACAACAGCAAUCAACACACAAUUCCGAUUUUGACGAAAAGCCGUUCAACGACCCGUCUUGAAACACGGACCAAGGAGUCUAACAAUAUUGCGAGUAGCAGAGUGACAAACUCGGAUGCGCAAGGAACGUGAUAGCCUGGGAGCGGGGAUGGGAUGUAGCAAUACUACCAUCUCUGCGCACCAGGGACCGGAGGAUAUGAUUACAUGUCAAUGCUUUCGAGUAGGAGCAAGAUUGUUGGGACCCGAAAGGUGGUGAACUAUGCCUGACUAGGGCAAAGCCAGAGGAAACUCUGGUGGAGGCUCGUAGCCGUUCUGACGUGCAAAUCGAUGGUCAAAGUUGGGUAUAGGGGCGAAAGACUAAUCGAACCACCUAGUAGCUGGUUCCCUC
rnacentral:misc_RNA from 1 species